rnacentral:rRNA from 1 species
UACGUAGGGUGCAAGCGUUAAUCGGAAUUACUGGGCGUAAAGCGUGCGCAGGCGGUGAUGUAAGACAGGUGUGAAAUCCCCGGGCUUAACCUGGGAACUGCAUUUGUGACUGCAUCGCUGGAGUGCGGCAGAGGGGGAUGGAAUUCCGCGUGUAGCAGUGAAAUGCGUAGAGAUGUGGAGGAACACCGAUGGCGAAGGCAGCCCCCUGGGGUAACACUGACGCUCAUGCACGAAAGCGUGGGGAGCAAACAGG